AGAGGCCUACCAUGGUGGUAACGGGUAACGGGGUGUUAGGGCACGACACCGGAGAGGGAGCCUGAGAAACGGCUACCACAUCCAAGGAUGGCAGCAGGCGCGCAAAUUACCCAAUCCCGACACGGGGAGGUAGUGACAAUAAAUAACAAUACGGGGUUCUUUCGGAUCUCGUAAUUGGAAUGAGUACAAUUUAAAUCUCUUAACGAGGAACAAUUGGAGGGCAAGUCUGGUGCCAGCAGCCGCGGUAAUUCCAGCUCCAAUAGCGUAUAUUAAAGUUGUUGCAGUUAAAAAGCUCGUAGUUGAAUUUCGGGGUUAGUAGGUUGGUCAUGCCUCUGGUAUGUACUGGUCUCACUGAUUCCUCCUUCCUUAUGAACCGUAAUGCCAUUAAUUUGGUGUUGCGGGGAAUUUGGACUGUUACUUUGAAAAAAUUAGAGUGUUUAAAGCAAGCUAACGCUUGAAUACAUUAGCAUGGAAUAAUGAAAUAGGACGUUCGAUCUUACUUUGUCGGUUUCUAGGAUUGACGUAAUGAUUAAUAGGGAUAGUUGGGGGCAUUAGUAUUCAAUUGUCAGAGGUGAAAUUCUUGGAUUUAUUGAAGACUAACUACUGCGAAAGCAUUUGCCAAGGAUGUUUUCAUUAAUCAAGAACGAAAGUUAGGGGAUCGAAGACGAUCAGAUACCGUCGUAGUCUUAACCAUAAACUAUGCCGACUAGGGAUCGG
rnacentral:rRNA from 1 species